UCGUAACAAGGUUUCCGUAGGUGAACCUGCGGAAGGAUCAUUACCGAGUGUAGGGUUCCUAGCGAGCCCAACCUCCCACCCGUGUUUACUGUACCUUAGUUGCUUCGGCGGGCCCGCCAUUCAUGGCCGCCGGGGGCUCUCAGCCCCGGGCCCGCGCCCGCCGGAGACACCACGAACUCUGUCUGAUCUAGUGAAGUCUGAGUUGAUUGUAUCGCAAUCAGUUAAAACUUUCAACAAUGGAUCUCUUGGUUCCGGCAUCGAUGAAGAACGCAGCGAAAUGCGAUAACUAGUGUGAAUUGCAGAAUUCCGUGAAUCAUCGAGUCUUUGAACGCACAUUGCGCCCCCUGGUAUUCCGGGGGGCAUGCCUGUCCGAGCGUCAUUGCUGCCCAUCAAGCACGGCUUGUGUGUUGGGUCGUCGUCCCCUCUCCGGGGGGGACGGGCCCCAAAGGCAGCGGCGGCACCGCGUCCGAUCCUCGAGCGUAUGGGGCUUUGUCACCCGCUCUGUAGGCCCGGCCGGCGCUUGCCGAACGCAAAUCAAUCUUUUCCAGGUUGACCUCGGAUCAGGUAGGGAUACCCGCUGAACUUAAGCAUAUCAAUAA
rnacentral:misc_RNA from 1 species